rnacentral:snRNA from 1 species
CCAAGCGCGGGUAAACGGCG